GGCUCUAUGGCUUAAUGGGUUGAAGCACCUGUCUUGUAUACAGGAGAUCCUGGGUUCAAUUCCCAGUAGGGCCU